AUGGUGGCCGGGCCGGGGCCGGGGCUGCUGGCCUUGGCCUUGGCCUUGUGGCCGGCAGGGCUCUGGGCACGGCCGAGGCUGCAGGAGGCCGGCGGAGGGCAGCGAGCGCCCGGGGACUCCGUCACCCUCUCCUGCCGCGGAUCCGGAUUCACCUUUAGGAGUCAUGGAAUUUAUUGGUACCGUCAGUCACCCGGAGGGAGCCUGGCUUGGGUGUCCUUUAUUGGUUCUAAUCCGAGAGUUCUAUAUUUUGACCAGUCCGUGCAGGGGCGGACCAAGAUGUCCCGGGACAAUUCCCGGUCCGAGGUUUAUCUCUCCCUGCUGACCCUGCAGUCCCGCGACUCUGCCCGGUACUUCUGUGCUGUUCACACGGGGAUAGGAAACCCAGAUAAGCUUAUAUUUGGACCAGGGACGACUCUCACAGUUGAACCAAACAUUUCCAAUAUUUCUCACCCUCAAGUCAUUGUGAUGAAAUCAAAGAAACUGGAAGGAGGUGGCAGCUCUGGGAAAGCAGCUUGUUUGGCAAGGAACUCCGCUACAAAGAACAUCAGAUUGGAGAUGCCCUCUCAGGAGGUGGUCUAUGAACAGAGCCCAUCCAUUUUGACAUCACAGGGGUUGUACAAUGCAAUUAAAGUGGUCAGGGUGACAAAAGACACAGAGGUGACCUGCACGGCCAAAUUCCCCGACCACACGAUAACAGCAGAGCCAGGUACAGUUUGGUGGCACAGCUGUCACUGA